rnacentral:rRNA from 1 species
AGAGUUUGAUCCUGGCUCAGGAUGAACGCUAGCUACAGGCUUAACACAUGCAAGUCGAGGGGCAGCGGGGAGAAAGCUUGCUUUCUUUGCCGGCGACCGGCGCACGGGUGAGUAACGCGUAUCCAACCUUCCCUAUAGUAGCGGAUAGCCCGGCGAAAGUCGGAUUAAUACGCUAUGUUGUAUUUAGAGGACAUCUGAAGAAUACCAAAGGUUUACCGCUAUAGGAUGGGGAUGCGUCUGAUUAGGUUGUUGGCGGGGUAACGGCCCACCAAGCCAUCGAUCAGUAGGGGUUCUGAGAGGAAGGUCCCCCACAUUGGAACUGAGACACGGUCCAAACUCCUACGGGAGGCAGCAGUGAGGAAUAUUGGUCAAUGGGCGAGAGCCUGAACCAGCCAAGUAACGUGCAGGAUGACGGCCCUAUGGGUUGUAAACUGCUUUUAUCGGGGGAUAAAGUGCGGGACGCGUCCCGUUUUGUAGGUACCCGAUGAAUAAGGACCGGCUAAUUCCGUGCCAGCAGCCGCGGUAAUACGGAAGGUCCGGGCGUUAUCCGGAUUUAUUGGGUUUAAAGGGAGCGCAGGCCGGAGGUCAAGCGUGACGUGAAAUGUAGCCGCUCAACGGCUGAACUGCGUCGCGAACUGGCUUUCUUGAGUGAGUUCGAUGUGGGCGGAAUUCGUGGUGUAGCGGUGAAAUGCUUAGAUAUCACGAAGAACUCCGAUUGCGAAGGCAGCCCACAAGGCCUUUACUGACGCUAAAGCUCGAAGGUGCGGGUAUCGAACAGGAUUAGAUACCCUGGUAGUCCGCACGGUAAACGAUGG